rnacentral:rRNA from 1 species
AGUAAAAGUCGUAACAAGGUUUCCGUAGGUGAACCUGCGGAAGGAUCAUUACAGAGUUCAUGCCCGAAAGGGUAGACCUCCCACCCUUGUGUAUUAUUACUUUGUUGCUUUGGCGAGCUGCCUUCGGGCCUUGUAUGCUCGCCAGAGAAUACCAAAACUCUUUUUAUUAAUGUCGUCUGAGUACUAUAUAAUAGUUAAAACUUUCAACAACGGAUCUCUUGGUUCUGGCAUCGAUGAAGAACGCAGCGAAAUGCGAUAAGUAAUGUGAAUUGCAGAAUUCAGUGAAUCAUCGAAUCUUUGAACGCACAUUGCGCCCCUUGGUAUUCCGGGGGGCAUGCCUGUUCGAGCGUCGUUUCAACCCUCAAGCUUAGCUUGGUAUUGAGUCUAUGUCAGUAAUGGCAGGCUCUAAAAUCAGUGGCGGCGCCGCUGGGUCCUGAACGUAGUAAUAUCUCUCGUUACAGGUUCUCGGUGUGCUUCUGCCAAAACCCAAAUUUUUCUAUGGUUGACCUCGGAUCAGGUAGGGAUACCCGCUGAACUUAAGCAUAUCAAUAAGCGGAGGAAAAGAAACCAACAGGGAUUGCCCUAGUAACG